AGUGAACGCUGGCGGUAGGCCUAACACAUGCAAGUCGAACGGCAGCACAGUAAGAGCUUGCUCUUACGGGUGGCGAGUGGCGGACGGGUGAGGAAUACAUCGGAAUCUACUUUUUCGUGGGGGAUAACGUAGGGAAACUUACGCUAAUACCGCAUACGACCUACGGGUGAAAGCAGGGGAUCUUCGGACCUUGCUCGAUUGAAUGAGCCGAUGUCGGAUUAGCUAGUUGGCGGGGUAAAGGCCCACCAAGGCGACGAUCCGUAGCUGGUCUGAGAGGAUGAUCAGCCACACUGGAACGGGGACACGGUCCAGACUCCUACGGGAGGCAGCAGAGGGGAAUAUUGGACAAUGGGCGCAAGCCUGAUCCAGCCAGACCGCGUGGGUGAAGAAGGCCUUCGGGUUUUAAAGCCCGUUUGUUGGGAAAGAAAAGCAGCAGGUUAAUACCCCGCUGUUCUGACGGUACCCAAAGAAUAAGCACCGGCUAACUUCGUG
rnacentral:rRNA from 1 species